AUGCUGAUGCCAGGACCUUGUCCUGCCAGGAAGCCUCUGAUUAGGGCUGUGAACCAACUUCCUUUUCACAUCUGCAAGGACACUUGGAGGCAACUGCCCAAGGCCACUCUGAGGAGGGUUGAAUGUUCUUUAUUAAAAGGACUGAGGAUCAUGUGUGUUGGUGGGCCUUGGACUCUGCUCUAAGGUCAAAUUUUGCAGUUUCUGCUGUCAUCACAGCUGGGAAUGAGAAAGGGAAGGGGCUCCAGUUGGUCUCCCUCUGCCUCUGGAGCACACGUGGAGGACAUGAGGCUUCCGCAGGAACAGCUCUGAAAGCUGAGUUCUCGGGUCCCUGUGAAGGAGGGAAGCUUGCCUGCCUUGGAGCGUGAAAAAGUCUUGCUGGACAGAAGUCUCACGGUUUAAAACUGGGAAGGGAGAGGAUUGAGAUCACACUAGAAUGCACAGAAAAUUCUUAAAACAAAAAAAUGAGAGAAACUUCAUCAGAAUGUGAAAAGAACUAUAAAGCUACAGUGCUGAAGAGAGGGCAAUACUGGCACUAGAAUGAGAAGAUUCAUGGAACACAGUGGAAAAUGCAGUAAGAGAGCUGCAUGCACAUGGAGGCAACCACUCAAGGCCACUCUGAGAAGGGUUGAACGUGCUUUAAAUUAAAAGGACUGAGGAUCAUGUGUGUUGGUGUGUCUUGGACUCUGCUCUAAGGAUUUCUGACUGGCUGCAAUGGGAACAACACAAAAUUUAAUGAGGUUAAGAGCUCAGGCCUCCAGCUGAGGGACUGCAGAUGUUGGGCUCAUGGAGGCAACCACUCAAGGUCACUCUGAGAAGGGUUGAACGUGCUUUAUUAAAAGGACUGAGGAUCAUGUGUGUUGGUGUGUCCCGGAGUCUGCUCUAAGGAUCAUACUUCCCUGGGCUGAUUCCUGAUUCCAACACAACGCUGGAGGUGUAGGAGUCAUAGUACAGAAGACGCUGUGGGGCCUUCCCCUCCUGGUGUAGGUACCAGGCUGCACGGGGGCUUGGAUCAAUGCCUGAAUCCAGUGUUCCUGAGUGCAGAGCAUCUUUGCUCUGGGUGAGCUUUGACCAUCCUGGAGAAGAAGGCUGCUGCGGGGGUGGGACAAAGCCAAGACCAAUGCCCAGCGGCCAAGGCCAGCCAGAUGGCUCUGUGCUGGCAGCCAGUGUACACGGAUUUUACCUGAAGGAAAAUGUCACAUUUUCCACAGACAACUGAAGAAAGAGAGCUCUUUGGAUUACCCUAAUUGUGAUUUACUCAUUGGAACCACUGUUUUGGAUUGUCCAAAAUUAAGUCUCAAAGCUUAAAUAUGAGGCUUCAGGGAGUUAUCCUGAAAUCAGUGCUUGGUAUCUUCUUGUUUUUUGCUUGUUUUUUAAAACCUUAAUUCUCAUAUUUUUCUGUCAUAUUUCUCAGUGCCUGGUACAUUAUCACCAUUAAUCCAUGCCAGUUAUGUACAGUUUUGCAUGUUUGUUUUUUAUUUUACUCUUUUCUCUCCUUCAUUCCCUAUUCCUGUUCCCCCAUAGGUGCCCAGUCUAAUGUAUUUGAUAUCUGUCCUUAGAGCCUCCGUAUCUGUGAAGACUAGAGUCAUGCACUUCAUCACAUUUCAGUAACGAUGGGCCGCAUGUACCACAGUCCCAUGAGAUGAUAGAGGUGCAGAAAAAUUCCUGUCAUCUAGUGACAUCGUAGCCAUCAUAACAUCACAACACGACUCUCAUUUGUGGUGACCCUGGUGUACACAAACCUACUGUACUGCCAGUUGUAUAAAAGUCUAGCACAUCCAGCUACGCACAGUACAUACUUGAAAAUUAUAAUAAAUGACCAUGUUACUGGUUUAUGUAAUUACUAUAUUAUACUUUUUAAUCAUUAUUUUAGAGUGUACAACUUCUACUUGUAAAAAAAAAAAAAGUUAACUGUAAAACAGCCUCAGGCAGGCCCUUCAGUAGGAAUUCCAGAAGAAGGCACUGUUGUCCUAGGAGAUGACAGCUCCAUGUGUGUUACUGCCCUGAUGACCCUCCGUGGGUACAAGAUGUGGAGCUGGACUACAGUGAUAUUGAAGAUCUCGACCCUGUAGGCCUAGGCUAAUGUGUGGCUGUGUCUUGAUUUUUAGCAAAAAUGUUUUAAAAGUGAAAAUGUUAAAAAUAGAAAACAGUUUAUAGAAUAAGGAUAUAAAGAAAAUAUUUUGUACAGCUGUAUAAUUUUUUUUUGUUUUUCUUUUCCUUUUUCUUUUUUUUUUUUGAGACGGAGUCUUGCUCUGUCGCCCAGCUGGAGUGCAGUGGUGUGAUCUCGGCUCACUGCAACCUCUGCCUCCUGGGGUCAAGCGACUCUUCUGCCUCAGCCUCCUGAGUGGCUGGGACUACCGGCAAGUGCCACCAUGCCUGGCUAAUUUUUGUAUUUUUUGUGGAGAUUUUCACCAUCUUGGCCAGGCUGGUCUUGAACUCCUGACCUGGUGAUCCACCCGCCUUGGCCUCCCAAAGUGGUGGGGUUACAGGCGUGAACUACAGGGCCUGGCCUGUUUGUGUUUUAAGCUAAGUGUUGUUAGGAGUCAAAAAGUUAAAAAAUAAAAGUUGCUAAAGUAAAAAAGUUACAGUCAGCAAAAGCUAAUUUAUUAAUGAAGAAAGAAAUGUAUGUUUUGAUCAAUUUAGUGUAGCCUAAGUGUCCAGUGUUUAUAGUCUACAGGAGUGUACAGGAACGUCCUAGGUCUUCACAUCCUCUCACCACUCACUCAUUGACUCACUCACCCAGAGUAGCUUCCAGACCUGCAAGCUCCAUUCAUGGUAACUCCCCUAUACAGGUGUUACAGUACUUAAAAUUUUAUAUCCUAUUUUUACUGUAGGUUGUCUCUGUCUAGAUAUAUUUGGAUACACACAUACUUACCAAUGUGUUACAGUUGCCUGCAGCACUCAGUACAGUAACAUGCUGCACAGCUUUGUAACCUAGAAACAACAGGCUACACCUAUAGCCUCUGUGUAGUAGGCUGUGCCAUCUGGGUUUGUGUUCUACAACGUUGCAUUCUACAAUGUUCACACAAGGAUGAAAUCGCCUAAGGACACAUUUCUCAGAAUGCUUCCUCAUUGUCAAGCAAUGCAUGACUGUAUAUAGAAUUGUUCAUAAAUACUGUGUUUUUCAUCCAUGUAAAUGGCAUGCCAUUUCUACCUAUCCACGUCUGCACACCAGCUCAUGCCCCUCAUUCAUGCUCCUUUCUGCUGCUCACCGCUCCACAGCUGGCAGCCCCUGCAUUCCAUCCAUCCAUUCCCCCAAACAUGGGCAUGUUGCUAUCAGCAGGGAGCUGUGAUGGACCCCUCACAGGGUCCUCUUAUUCCUCGUGCAAGCCUUUCCCUGGGAAGUUCCUCCCAGCAUUGCUGGUCAGGGGGAACACACACUCACAUCUUCACUAAAUGCUACCAGUGCUAUGGUGUUAUCAGAAACUUUAUUUAUUUAUUUUUUGCCAAUAUGAUAGCUAUCAAGCUACCCCAUCUCUACUAAAAAUACAAAAUUAGGCCUUUAGUAGAAACCCUGUCUCUAGUAAAAAUACAAAAAUUAGCUGGGCAUGGUGGCACACACCUGUAAUACCAGCUACUUGGUGGCUGAGGCAGGAGAAUUGCUUGAACCCAGGAGGCAGAAGCUGCAGUGAGCCAAGAUCGCACCACUGCACUCUAGCCUGGGCAACAGAGAACCUGUCUUAAAAACAAAAACAAAAAAAAUGGCACAGGUCUGAUUAUUAGGAAGCUGAGGUUCUUUUUUAUACUUAGUAUUCACUGAAGUGUGAAUUACCUUUCAUGUCCUCUAAACAUACCAACAAGGAGGCUGGAGUUAGGACUUAUGUUAGAGCCAGCCUGCCUGGGGCACAGCCUGGCCCUGCCAUUUAUUGACUGUGUGACUUUGAGAAAGCUUCCUCAUGUAACUCUAUCUUAGCUUCCCUGCCUGUAAUAAGUAAAAACAGCAACUACCUCAUAGAUUUGUAAAGAUUACAUAAAAUAAUACAUGCAAUGCAUGGCAAACGACAGUCAACGAAUGUUAUUAUUAUAUUAACUAUUGCCAUAUUAUAAAUAUAAAUAAAUAUAAAUGAUAUAAACA
rnacentral:lncRNA from 1 species